CACGGGUGAGUAACGCGUAUCCAACCUGCCCAUAACUAAGGGAUAACCCAGCGAAAGUUGGACUAAUACCUUAUGUAUUCGUUUGAUCUCAUGAGAUUACGAAUAAAGAUUUAUCGGUUAUGGAUGGGGAUGCGUCUGAUUAGCUUGUUGGCGGGGUAACGGCCCACCAAGGCGACGAUCAGUAGCCGGCUUGAGAGAGUGUACGGCCACAUUGGGACUGAGACACGGCCCAGACUCCUACGGGAGGCAGCAGUC
rnacentral:rRNA from 1 species